rnacentral:misc_RNA from 4 species
AACGCACAUUGCGCCCCCUGGUAUUCCGGGGGGCAUGCCUGUUCGAGCGUCAUUUCACCACUCAAGCCUCGCUUGGUAUUGGGCAACGCGGUCCGCCGCGUGCCUCAAAUCGACCGGCUGGGUCUUCUGUCCCCUAAGCGUUGUGGAAACUAUUCGCUAAAGGGUGUUCGGGAGGCUACGCCGUAAAACAACCCCAUUUCUAAGGUUGACCUCGGAUCAGGUAGGGAUACCCGCUGAACUUAA